AGGAUUGUAGUUAAUUAUAACAUUUGGUUUGCAUCCAAAAAGUAUUGAAGAUCAAUCAAUCUUA
rnacentral:tRNA from 1 species